rnacentral:rRNA from 1 species
AGGGCACCACCAGGAGUGGAGCCUGCGGCUUUAUUUGACUCAACACGGGGAAACUCACCCGGGCCGGAAACCGGAAGGAUUGACAGAUUGAUAGCUUUUUCAUGAUUCGGGGGAUGGGGGUGCAUGGCCGUUCUUAGCUCGGGGAACGAUUUGGCUGGGUUAUUCCGAUAACGAACGAGACUCUAGCCCAAUAAAUAGUUCGCACAUUGGCUCUGGGGGGGGGACUUCCUAGAGGGAUUUUCGGUGUUCAGCCGCACGAAAUUGAGCAAUAACAGGUCUGUGAUGCCCUUAGAUGUCCGGGGCUGCACGCGCGCUACACUGGCAAAAUCAGCGUGCUUGUCCUUCCCCGAAAGGGGUUGGUAAACCCUUGAAAAUUUGCCGUGAUUGGGAUUGGAAAUUGCAAUUAUUUUCCAUGAACGAGGAAUUCCAAGUAAGUGCGAGUCAUCAGCUCGCGUUGAUUACGUCCCUGCCCUUUGUACACACCGCCCGUCGCUGCCCGGGACUGAGCCAUUUCGAGAA